rnacentral:tRNA from 1 species
GCUUAAUUUGCUAAGUGGUAAAGCAAUAGACUCUUAAUCUAUCAUUCGUAGGUUCAAAUCCUACAUUAAGCCCC